rnacentral:rRNA from 1 species
UACGGAGGGGACUAGCGUUGUUCGGAAUUACUGGGCGUAAAGCGCACGUAGGCGGAUGUGUAAGUCAGGGGUGAAAUCCCGGGGCUCAACCUCGGAACUGCCUUUGAUACUGCAAAUCUCGAGUCCGGAAGAGGUGAGUGGAAUUCCUAGUGUAGAGGUGAAAUUCGUAGAUAUUAGGAAGAACACCAGUGGCGAAGGCGGCUCACUGGUCCGGUACUGACGCUGAGGUGCGAAAGCGUGGGGAGCAAACAGG